rnacentral:rRNA from 1 species
AUACGAAAGGUGCAAGCGUUGUUAGGAUUUACUGGGCGUAAAGAGAGUGUAGGUGGUUUAUUAAGUCGGAUGUGAAAUCCCGGGGCUCAACCUCGGAACUGCAUUCGAUACUGAUAGGCUAGAGUUUGGGAGGGGUAAGCGGAAUUCCGUGUGUAGCAGUGAAAUGCGUAGAUAUACGGAGGAACACCUGAGGCGAAGGCGGCUUACUGGACCAAUACUGACACUGAGACUCGAAAGCGUGGGUAGCAAACAGGAUUAGAAACCCUAGUAGUCC